rnacentral:lncRNA from 1 species
UUUUUAGGAAGGCACCUGAACGCCCAUCCUCGACCUGAGAGGUUACUGCUGUCUUUCUUUUUGUACACAGCUCGUGUAAUUUCAGCACAUAUGAAGAUUUUGGACCUGAUAUAUAUCGGGUAUAGUUGGUUGCACAUAUGAGUUAACUGCUUCUGCAGUAUCUUCUCUUUCUGAGGUUUUUAUAUUUGUCAAAAUUUUGAUUCUUCUCUUUAAAGCUGGACUUAAUAAAUUCUCAAAGCUUCAAGUAAGCAUGUUACCUCCACAGCUUCCCCCACCCCCGCCCCCCCCCCCCCCAAAAAAAAAAAAAAGAGAAAUCGACAUGAUUUGAUUAGAUGACGCGGAUGCGUAGGUACAACUGUUUGUCUUUACACGAGGUAAAAAAAACUCUUGUUUUCAAUUCGUUUGACUUUUAUCUCAAACCGUAAGCACCGCUUGAGCCCUUUUCUUCCUUUGCACUCCCUUUGCCGGCCAACGACCAGCUGCCGGUGGUUGGCUGUACCUCUCCUUGUCCUAUAUUCUCUUUUCCAUGCUCCCUUCCUCUUUGAAUAAUAAUCCCCACUAUGAUUUGUGGUUUCGGCGGUUCUUUUGGAUAGAUUCAAUGCUGAUAGCAUCGGAACUAACGAUUUGGAACGUUUUGGGCUAUUCUCUCUUCUGAGCUGGGUUUUGCUGAGGGCUGGGUGUGGUGCUUUGUUGCUGGUGAUGUACCCUACUUCAGGAUGAGAGUUUCGCUGCGGCUACGGAUGGUGGAUGGUUGGGCGGUGCCAAAGCCUACAAAUGCAACUUGUUUUGGUUUGUUUCAACCUUCCGAUCCAGUUGUUGAUCUGGGCUUGCCGUCGUUGGUGGCUGAUCUCUGACUGUUCGAGUGGUUUCAGGUUUCGGAUUUAAUCCGACAUCUCUUGGCUGGCAAUUCGUGAUGUUUGAUUUCUUUAUGUGACGUUCUUCAUUAUUUUUCUCCCUUGCUUACAAAGCAAGGUUACUAGUGAAAAUAGAGAUUGUUCGAUAAUAGAGAUCAUAUGCACUAAUGUUUUCACAUUAGUUGCUAAUGCCAAAGUGAACGGUGAUGAUCUCUCCUUUAUUUUUUGCAUUAUUAAAAUAAUACAAAAAAUAAUUACAAAAAUAGAUAGAUUGUAGAUUAAUUACGAAAAUUUGGGUACUGUCAAUGUGUUAGGCGGUACUAGCUAUAAA